ensembl:lncRNA
GAUGGGCAGAUGAGACUAACCAGAUUGGCCACGAACAAGCAGGGUUCAGAAUUAAACGCUCUACAACUGAUCACGCAAUAGUUCUUUACCAUCUGGCACGGAAGUACUCCUCCCCUCCCCGGGGCUACCUGUGUGCUGCCUUCUUAGAUCUUAAGGCAGCCUUUGACAGCGUUCCUAGAAAUAUUCUUUGGGAGAAACUUGCGAAACAGGGCAUUGAUAGAAGACUCUUAUGGCUUAUAAGUCAGCUCCAUGAAGGUACCCUUGCCAGAGUGAGACUUACUCCUGCGGGCGACCUCACAAAUUCGAUACCAAUAAACAAGGGAGUGCGCCAAGGAUGUAUAUUGGCUCCCUGCCUAUUCAAUCUAUUCAUCAGCGACAUGCGAGCACCCCUAGUCAACUCAUCUCCAAGUACACAUGCGCCUAGACUGGCGGAUUACCGCUGUCCACUCCUUUUAUAUGCGGACGACGCGGUAAUUCUAUCUUAUACACGUGUUGGACUAACCAGAGCUCUGAAGAUCUUUGCCACGUAUUGUCAACUCAACCAAUUAACCAUCAACCAUGCUAAAUCUAAGAUUCUGAUUUUCGCCAGAAGUCGGAGAUUAUACGAAUGGAAGCUUGGCGGAGCAAAAAUAGAGCAAGUCCUAAAAUUUCAAUACCUAGGAGUUAUUUUUCAAUACAAUUUGGGGUGGAAAGCACAAAUUCAACACCUCCUUAACAAGGCCAAAACUCUGUCAUAUGCGCUCCUCCGAUUUUUCUUUUCGGAUGGAGCUUUGCAUGUUCCCUCGGCCCUAAAGGUGUUCAAGGCAAAAGUGGUACCCGUGCUUACUUAUGCUGCCCCGCUCUGGGCUGUGAUGACAGACCUUGCUCCUCUUGAGACUCUGCAAAACCAAUUCCUACGUCGGCUCCUAAUGCUCCCCCUGUGCGUAAGCAACGCAGCCAUGCGACUAGAAUUGAAGAUCGCAUCCUUAGAAACUUGCCUGUGGAAGCAAGUCUUCAAUUAUUGGUUAUCAUUGUGGCAUAGAUUACCAGACCAUUACCUUGUCCAAUGCUUAUGGCGAGAUGAAUUUUCCAGCCUUUGGACUAGUAGAAUUCAUGCCAAACUCCUGAGCUAUGGAAUCUCUCCCUUAGAUUCCCUAAAACUAGAUCAAAUCACUGCUCAAAGACUGAUCCGCCAAAGACUGGAUGACAUCGAUUUACAGCGAAAUUAUAUGCUGGGGGGAGGUGUUUGUUCGCCCCAGAACAUUGGUAUCACUUUAACUUACCGCGUUCCAUCAUACCUCUCCUCCCUUUCGACUGUUGCCCAUAGGCUGGCCUUCACCAAAGCGAGGUUUAACGUUUUUCCCUCCAAUGUCCUGAGACAUAGAUUCUCAAAGGGCCAAGCCUCCGCCAUGUGCGAAUGUGAUAAGGAGACGCCAGAGUCGCUUCAGCACAUUAUAUUCACUUGCCCCUUAUUCAAGGUGCCACGGGCAAAUUUGUUGGGAUCAAUCAUUCAGAAACUAGAGGGUACCCCACCAAAAUUCCACCUUGCCCAAAUCUUGCAGGAUAAGGAUACCCAUACGACCCUGAAAGUGGCUAGGUUCCUGGUCGCUGUCCUUACCCAAAAGCGUUGCCAAGGAGCACCACAAGCUAAUCAAGGCGUAGUAUGCCAUUCCAUCUUAUAGUAUUUUAUUGUUAUAGUAGUGUUUUAGCGGCUGUUUUUUCCCACGUGCACACGCUGUUAUUUAUGUCUUGUUUUUAUCUGUAUGGGCCUAUGGCCGUAAUAAAUUAUUAUUAUUAUUAUUAUUAUUAUUAUUAUUAUUAUUAUUAUUAUACUGCCCUAUACCUUAGGGUCUCAGGGCAGUUCACAGAAUAAAAUGAAG